rnacentral:rRNA from 1 species
CCCUUAGAUGUUCUGGGCAGCACGCGCGCUACAAUGGUCUUCGCAAACGGAUGCAUUCUCGAAGGAGAAUGCCAAUCUUGGAAUCUAUGCCUUGGUCGGGACAGUUGCUUGCAAUUUUUCGACUCGAACCAGGAAUUCCUUGUAAUCGUGAUUCAUCACAUCACGAUGAAUACGUCCCUGCCCUUUGUACACACCGCCCGUCGCUCCUACCGAUCGAAGAGUUAGGUGAAUUGUUUUGAUCGAUAAGAUUUGACUAUGGUCAACUCUCGUUGGGAAAUUCUGUGAAUCUGACUGUUGAGAGGAAGGAAAAGUCGUAACA